UCGUAAGUUUAUUUGAUCUCUUCUCUUGUCUCAGCGGGAAACUGAUUAUUUUGGAAAAAAAUUUCUGAUCUUUGAGGAUUUAGACCUGACUUCAGUGCUUAGAUUUUGUUCGUAAAUGUUGUGCUGUACAACUUGUAGUGCUAAACUGUAUGUCAAGAUGAUUGCCCUAAUGCAAUCAUCCUUGGCUGUUAUUAUGUUUAGAGUCAGUUAUGCCACAUUCUGGUGAGUAGUGACUUUCCACUUUUGUUUAGAAUUUUUCAACCUUUUUCAUUGUUCCCCACCAAUCUUUCUCUUUCUUUGUAUGACUAGACUAGUAGACUAUGUAAUAUGUAGGAACAUAUUUGCAUGAUUCUAUAAGGUGCAAUUUUUGCUUAUGAUUCUAUAGAUUUUUUCAACCUUUUUCAUAGUUCCACAUCAAUCUUUCUCUUUCUUUGUAUGACUAGACUAGUAGACUAUGUAAAAUGUAAGAACAUAUUUGCAUGAUUCUAUAAGGUGCAAUUUAAAAAAUAAUUGUCAUUAAGGUAGGCUUAUAUGAUAUGUUUAUUCUAUUUCUUGGAAGUUAAACGAAUGCUUGACUUUAUUAUCAAAUGCUGCAUAACUUAAAUGAAUUUGUAAAAGAAAAGUACAAGUUUGUUCGGGCAAGGAGCUUGCUUGAGCUUCUGUUAGCUCGUUCAUAUUCCUGACCACUUUUCUUCUAGAAAAAGCAAACAUAGACUAGCCUUAAUUUCUUUGUACUAUGGUGUAGGCAUGCGUCGAACAAAUAAACAUGCUUUUUAACAAUUUAUCUCUAGAAAUAUAGGACCAUAAAUCAGUAUAGAUAUCUGUGCUGAUUGAUGUUUAACAUGUGCAUUGCAUAAUUUGAAGUAAAAACUGAUCAUACGGACUACCAUUACAUAGGUAUAUUUUUGCCCACGAAAAUAAGCUCAAAUUUUGUCGUGGAAACUAUAAAGAGGCAUCAAAUAUUUUUACAAUGUAAUACAUCAUAUGUUUUGCCUGCACUCUGCAACUAUCAUACAGAACUCGUAUGGUGGAAGUAUUGCAAGAAGCUAAAGUAAUGUGUUACUUGAAGCCUUUGGUCCCAUACAGAAAAUGGUUCUUUUAUUUUUGCUGCCUCUGAUUUACAAAUCAGAUUCUGCACACUUCAGUUACCUGGACACUUCAUUUUUUGGUUUUUGAAAGUGUUGACACAUUUGGAGACUUGGACAUGACAUGAAAUGUCUUGGCACUGCACCUUAAGGUAUUCUGCUUACAUUAGCAAGAAGUGUUAAACACUUGUCACCAUGUUUUUUGGAGUACCGUGAAAAAGAUUUUUAGUUUCAUGUGUUGGACCUUAAAACAAUGUGGCAGAAUGCUUUUAACACAAAGUUAUCACAUCUAUUUAUUAAUUUAGGUGUCUUAACACAAGCAACAUAAACUAUACCCAAAGAAUUCUUAAACAACUUACCUCAAGAAUCCUUGACAUUAUAUGUUGAUGAUUUGCAUGUGUAAAUAUAUGUGUAUUUAUGUAAAUAUCUUUGUGUGUUAGGACCCAAUGCUUAGACUUUUGGAGGCUGCUUUUUUAUCUUGUGGGCACUUGGAAAACUGAUUAACACUCAGUGAAAAGGAAAAUCAAUAAGGUGGUUAUCCAAAACCAUCUUAAAUAGAAAUUAGGCUAUUCCAAACAGUGAGAUUAAGUGGACACAAACUUGUACGACUAUGUACACUUCAAGAUUCACCAGUAC
rnacentral:lncRNA from 1 species